AAGAAAAAACGCAAUGGUUGUGAACACGUCGUUAUAAAUUUGUUGUGGUAAAUCACUUAUCAAUCAGCUGAUUGAAAAAACAUAAAUUACAAUAUUUGCAAAAAUAAGUAUUUCGCAGUCAAAAUGCCAAGGAGAAUUGAAAAUUUAAAAUAAUGGACGCGCUGUAAAGAAUCAGGCAUUAAACCUGAUGAUACUUGACUCUUCGACGAGGAAGAUGCGGACGAAAUGUUUGAAAACUUUUCAUUGAACUUUCUUCACUUAUUAAACACUCGUAGAAGUGUUCAUCUCGGAAUACCAAAGUCAUCCCAAUGGCGACAUGUUAUACUUAGGAAUUUUGAUGACAGCCAUUUCAACGAAAUGAUUCGUGUUCGCCCGGUCGAAUUUGGCCGCUUCCUAGGUUAUAUAAAGGACGAUAGUGUAUUUAACACAAAUUCUAGUGGAGCAUAACUUCCUUUGCAUUCACAAUUAAAAAUAGUGUUAUUUAGGUUAGGAUCCUCCGGAGAUGGAUUAUCUAUACGAAAGGUGGCUUCACUGUUUGGCGUGGGCGAUGGGGGAACUAUUCAAAAUAUAACUAAAGGCGUAUUUAAAGCAAUAUUGAGGUUAACUUUCUGUUUUGGCCAAAUGAAAAGGAACGGUUGGAAAUUGUUACUGGAACGCGGAAAGAGAUGCCAGGUUGUAUAGGAUAUAUUGAUGGAUCCAAAUUAAAGUUGGCUGAAGCGCCAGCCAAAAAACAUAAACUUUUUUAUUCACGAAAACGCCAAAUGCCAUUAAAAUGCAAGCUGUUUGUGACUAUAGGCUACGAAUUAAACAAGUCACAAUAAGAUACCCUGGAAGUGUUCAUAACGCCAUCUGACUCUCAAUGCAUUGUUGGAUAUAGCGCCUAACCACGCAAGUAGUUUUUAUGUACAUCAGUAAAAAUAGUACGGACUACACUACGGAAGAAAGAAACAGUUUCAAUAAGUACUUUUCAAAAUAUCGUGUUCGAAAGAAUUUAGAAUGAUAAAUGAGCACAAUAAAAGAGAGUGCAAUGAGUGGAUAAUGGUAUGCUGCAUUCUCCAUAAUAUGCUAAUCAAUUUCCAAAUUGAAAACGAAGAAAGCAACCCACCUCAAUAUAGCUUACCAUCAGAAAGUAACACAAAAUCUAGCCUUCUUGACUUCAUACAAAAUCAUAUAUUAACUUAAAAUACAUCAUAAUUCCAAAGUAUAUUUACUAUUCAUUGGUUUAAUUAAAACAUAUAUAAAAAUGUUUUUUUUUUAUUUAAAAAUUAAUAUAAAAGGAAAACAAAUAUCGCGAACUCGAAACCCAAAACCUAGGAGGUCUAAGGCUAAAACACACAAAAUAAAAACAAAAAGUUUGAGAGAAUGUUUUGUACGGUGUACCGAUAAUGCAACAAACAAUCGACACGGAGACGAUCGCUUAAAAUAAAAAAGCCGUAAAGGGCUAUUUGGAUGAUAUCUAAUACUGCAAAAAAUAAAAUUUCUUCUUCACCAACCGUGUUAUUUCAAAAUCGUUUUAAAAAAGUUUUUUUGUAUAUUACAUAUAUUAGUAUAACAAAUAUAUAUAAACAAAAUGAAACAAGACAAAUUUUAUCAUUGUAUUAAAUAUAUAUAAAAAAUAAAAGAUUAAAGUGGAUAAUAUGGCUGAAGGCAUAGCUCGACUGAUUGCGAUUCAAACGACAAACUUAAGAACUGACAUACAAGUAGCUCAGCUAAAUAGCCAGAUAGAAAACAUAACUGCUACGCAAGUGAGUUCGUUUAUAUUAUUAUUCGGAUAGAAGGCCAAUUUAUAUACAUAAUUGAUCAUGAAAUGAGCAUACUUAGAAAAUGAUCGCAAUCCUUAAUAGAUUAUUACAAUGAAGUCAAUAAGAAAUAAGCACUAUUAAUUAAUAAAACUAUAACACACGGAAGAAAUUCCGAAAUUACAAAACAAUUAAAUAAUAAAAACUGAGAAACCGCGCUUAGAACAUUCAUAACUGGUUUAAAUUAUCCUUUAAACCAAAUAUUUUUUAUGUUAACGACUACCGAUUUGCAAUAGACUUAGAUCAAUCAUUCAAAUAAUAAAUAACCGCAGGCCUAUAAGUUAGCAACAUUAAAGUUAACUGCGAUAAGCAGAAUAAUGCUGGAUAAGCAAUUAACCAAUCAACAUCCGGCACGCGCAGUAUAAACUACAGACAGGAAUUAAUGCUGACCAACAAUAAUGCAACCAUUGCAACAAUUGUCGAGCAGUUAACAAAUCAACAUCCGGCACACGCGGAAUAACAAGACACAAGUAAAUAAAUCAAUAGUGCUCGCAUAAGUAAUUUUUAAGUUAUAAAUAAUUGUUAAUUGAAAUUGUAAUUUUAGUCUUAGAAGAACAUUUGACAAUAAAGGUCACUUUGACCAAAAAAAUAAAUUUUUUUAGCCGUUUUAAUUUAACCGACAAUAAUUGGCGCCCGAGCUUAAAAAAAGCUUGUUGGUUCGUGAAAGUCUAAAAGUGCCUUUAAAAAAAUAUAGUAAAAAACGCCGCGAAAAAGACAGUGAGCGUGUGGAGGAUAGAACAAGAGACUUCCUGGAUGCUCCAACGACACCAACAAGGAAUAACAGCGAAAGCCUACAGCCAACAAAGCCUACAGUAACAAAAACAGUGUGAGAAGGUGUACCUCAGUACCAACAAGGAAAAGGGACAAAUACACGAUCAUCGGUUAAGAGGAUAAUGAAGCUGUAUAUAGUGUAAGUAG
rnacentral:lncRNA from 1 species